rnacentral:rRNA from 1 species
UACGUAGGGUGCGAGCGUUGUCCGGAAUUAUUGGGCGUAAAGGGCUCGUAGGCGGUUUGUCGCGUCGGGAGUGAAAACCCAGGGCUUAACUCUGGGCUUGCUUUCGAUACGGGCAGACUAGAGGUAUGCAGGGGAGAACGGAAUUCCUGGUGUAGCGGUGAAAUGCGCAGAUAUCAGGAGGAACACCGGUGGCGAAGGCGGUUCGCUAGGACGGUACUGACGCUGAGACGCGAAAGCGUGGGGAGCGAACAGG